AUCAAACAUUGGUUCUCAAGGCAUUAGAACUUAGAACAUCAGAGCUUAGAACUCCAGAACCAAGAAAUAGCGAUCCUCAGAAUACUCAGGUUCAUAGAUUAGAAUCCACAUUCCAAAGCAGCAGCAUCUAUGGAGACUUUGUUUUGAUGAGGUGGAGAAAAGGGGAAAUCCAGAAAGGGGAAAUAUUAGUUAGCAUACUGCAAGUUAAUAAUAAAAUAAGAACCUGAAUGCAGAUUUCCUGAUUCCUAGUCUACAACUCUUUCCUCGGAAUGUAUAACAGCUACCUGCUGCCGCUCGCUAACCCCAGGCUCAGAGGAAGCCGCUGGACAUCCGUGGCUACUGUCUGCACUGCACCAAGUCCGAACGCUCCAAGCCAUGGAUUCCCAAAACUGCAGCUGCCCUACGGGAGGCCCUUGCACCUGUUCUGGGAAUUGCAAAUGCAAAGAGUGUAAAUGCAGUUCCUGCCAGAAAGGAGGUUGCUGUACUUCCUGCCCUCCUGAGUGCCCCAAGUGUUCCAAGGAGUGUGCCGGCAAAGGGAAUGACAAGGGCGGCUGCUGCCAUUGAGAGUGCUGCUGGCUUCUUGUAAAUAUAACCAUCCUUUCCUAAAGGCAUGAGCUGUGUGCAUUGUCUACCAUAAAAAUGUGCUCAUGUGUUUUCAAAUGAAAAUAAACUCAGUGAACAACGUAAA